AGCUCCAAUAGCGUAUAUUAAAGUUGUUGUGGUUAAAAAGCUCGUAGUUGAACCUUGGCCUCGGCCGGCCGGUCCGCCUCACCGCGUGCACUGGCUCGGCCGGGGCUUUCCCUCUGUGGAACCCCAUGCCCUUCACUGGGCGUGGCGGGGAAACAGGACUUUUACUUUGAAAAAAUUAGAGUGCUUCAGGCAGGCCUAUGCUCGAAUACAUUAGCAUGGAAUAAUAAAAUAGGACGUGCGGUUCUAUUUUGUUGGUUUCUAGGACCGCCGUAAUGAUUAAUAGGGACAGUCGGGGGCAUCAGUAUUCAAUUGUCAGAGGUGAAAUUCUUGGAUUUAUUGAAGACUAACUACUGCGAAAGCAUUUGCCAAGGAUGUUUUCAUUA
rnacentral:rRNA from 1 species